rnacentral:lncRNA from 1 species
AGCCAGGCAUGGUGGUUCACACCUGUAAUCCUAGUACUCUGGGAGGCCGAGGCGAGCAGAUUGCUUGAUCUCAGGAGUUCGAGACCAGACUGGGGAACAUGGCGAAACCCCAUCUCUACCAAAAAUACAAAAAUUAGCUGGGCAUGGUGGCGUGCUCCUGUACUCCCAGCUACUUGUGGGCCUGAGGCAGGAGGAUCACUUGAACCUGGGAGGUUGAGAAGGCUGCAGUGAGCUGAGACUGUGCCACUGCACUCCAGCCUAAGUGACAAAGAGACCUUGUCUCAAAAAAAAAAAAAAAAAAAAAACUGUUGGCUUCCUUAGGUUUCCGUUGGUGGACCGCAUAUAUUACUGUUAUGGAAAACAUUCCAUUUCAACGGCUUUCCCUCCCCAUGUGCUACAUACUAAAUCAGUGCUACGGUUUACUUCCACUUGGAGAAAAUGAAGAUAGCAGAGAAGGAAAGGAAAGUAAAAGUCAUGUAAAAGUGGGUCUGGAGUAAACAACAGAAGAACUGAGCUAUUUCUGAAAGAACAUGACCACCUUCAAAAAUUUCAAAAUACAACAUCCAUGAGUCCGCAGGAGACCUGCUCACAGAUGGCAUCUGUAAUUUACAGGAAGAUGAUGCUGACACUGGCUUAACCAUGCACUUAGCACACCACAGUUACAGUGAAAAUCCAAUUUUCUGCCAAAAGUGGGAAAUAAAUGAAGCCGUAAGUGUUUGCUUUAGGAGACUUUGUUUGAUUCUUGUAAAUAGAAAAUGGUUUUAUUACAUGUAAAAUAAGAUUUAAAGUGGUCACUGAGGAAUCGCCACACUGUCUUCCACAAUGAUUGAACUCAUUUACACU